GAAUUUUGGACAAUGGGCGCAAGCCUGAUCCAGCCAUGCCGCGUGCAGGAUGAAGGCCCUCGGGUUGUAAACUGCUUUUGUACGGAACGAAAAGCCUCUUUCUAAUAAAGAGGGGUGAUGACGGUACCGUAAGAAUAAGCACCGGCUAACUACGUGCCAGCAGCCGCGGUAAUACGUAGGGUGCGAGCGUUAAUCGGUUUUACUGGGUUUAAAGGGUGCGGAGGUGGGCUUAUAAGUCAGUGGUGAAAUCUCCGAGCUUAACUUGGAAACUGCGGUUGAGACUAUAGGGCUUGAAGUAUCUGGAGGUUAGCGGAAUAUGCCCUGUAGCGGUGAAUUGCUUAGAUAGGACAUAGAACACCAAUUGCGAAGGCAGCUUACUACAUAUAAAUGGACGCUGAGGCACGAAAGCGUGGGGAU
rnacentral:rRNA from 1 species